CUGUCUGAGUCCUCUGAACUAAAGGGAGCAGCUCUCUGUGGGCUUCCUGAGCCUUCAGGAGACACAGCUUUUUGCCUGAGAAGCAGUGGGCAGGGGAGCGCCCCAGUGCAGUGUCAAGAGCAACAGCUGGGGGACCAGAGCAGGGUGAGCAGUUUGCCAUCUCUCCAGUGUUCCUGGGACUCUGCGAUGCUCCUUGUUGCCAACCUGUGUGCAUCCUCACAGGAAGAGCACCGUUUGGUAGGGCCCUCUGCAACCCCCCUGGAAAGCUGGGCUUGCAUCCUUGGCUGAGAGACCAGCGAAGGUUUCCAGCACCGAGGAGAAAGCCCUACGAAGGACUUGGCGGGGGUCAGAGCACCUCAUGGGAGGAACUGCAAGAGCCCUGGGCCACUCCUCUGUGCUGUGACCUGAGGACGAAGUUGUGAGCCAGGAGAUGUGCCUUCACACUCCAGGAACCAGGCUGGAAGAGUUCCUUCCCAGGGCGGCUGUCCUUAGCCAAGGCUUGGGGACACCAGGGCCGGGGCGAGUUUGUUGGGUGUCAUACAAGCCACGCUUGC